rnacentral:rRNA from 1 species
UACGGGAGUGGCAAGCGUUAUCCGGAAUUAUUGGGCGUAAAGCGUCCGCAGGCGGUCUGUCAAGUCUGCUGUUAAAGCGUGGAGCUUAACUCCAUUAAGGCAGUGGAAACUGACAGACUAGAGUGUGGUAGGGGUAGAGGGAAUUCCCGGUGUAGCGGUGAAAUGCGUAGAUAUCGGGAAGAACACCAGUGGCGAAGGCGCUCUGCUGGGCCAUAACUGACGCUCAUGGACGAAAGCCAGGGGAGCGAAAGGGAUUAGAUACCCCUGUAGUCCUGGCCGUAAACGAUGAACACUAGGUGUCGGGGGAAUCGACCCCCUCGGUGUCGUAGCCAACGCGUUAAGUGUUCCGCCUGGGGAGUACGCACGCAAGUGUGAAACUCAAAGGAAUUGACGGGGGCCCGCACAAGCGGUGGAGUAUGUGGUUUAAUUCGAUGCAACGCGAAGAACCUUACCAGGGUUUGACAUCCUGCGAAUCUCUUGGAAACGAGAGAGUGCCUUCGGGAACGCAGUGACAGGUGGUGCAUGGCUGUCGUCAGCUCGUGUCGUGAGAUGUUGGGUUAAGUCCCGCAACGAGCGCAACCCACGUCGUUAGUUGCCAGCAUUUAGUUGGGCACUCUAGCGAGACCGCCGGUGAUAAACCGGAGGAAGGUGUGGAUGACGUCAAGUCAUCAUGCCCCUUACAUCCUGGGCUACACACGUACUACAAUGCUACGGACAAAGGGCAGCAAACUCGCGAGAGCUAGCAAAUCCCAUAAACCGUGGCUCAGUUCAGAUCGUAGGCUGCAACUCGCCUACGUGAAGGAGGAAUCGCUAGUAAUCGCAGGUCAGCAUACUGCGGUGAAUACGUUCCCGGGCCU